GACGAACGCUGGCGGCAUGCCUAAUACAUGCAAGUCGAGCGAACAGAUGAAGUGCUUGCACUUCUGACGUUAGCGGCGAACGGGUGAGUAACACGUAAGGAAUCUACCUAUAAGCGGGGGAUAACAUUCGGAAACGGGUGCUAAUACCGCAUAAUACCUUCUUCCGCAUGGAAGAAGAUUGAAAGACGGCUCUGCUGUCACUUAUAGAUGACCUUGCGGUGCAUUAGUUAGUUGGUGGGGUAACGGCCUACCAAGACGAUGAUGCAUAGCCGACCUGAGAGGGUGAUCGGCCACAUUGGGACUGAGACACGGCCCAAACUCCUACGGGAGGCAGCAGUAGGGAAUCUUCCGCAAUGGGCGAAAGCCUGACGGAGCAAUGCCGCGUGAGUGUAGAAGGCCUUCGGGUCGUAAAACUCUGUUAUAAGAGAAGAACAAAUUGUAGAGUAACUGCUACAGUCUUGACGGUAUCUUAUCAGAAAGCCACGGCUAACUACGUGCCAGCCGCCGCUGUAA
rnacentral:rRNA from 1 species